UUAUCAGGUAGGAUAAUCCUUACCUGCUCCUCUAUUCUGAGGGCAGAUAGAACAUGAUGACUUGAGUUUGCAUGAUUCAUGAUUAACUCCUCUGUAUGACUAGGGCUCACUACACCCUAAUAGCUCCUGCCUGAU